AACAAGUCCAGGAACUAAAAUAAAACACUUUACCAAAACACAAUCAGAGGGAAAAAAUGGAUAAACGUUUCGUCUUCCUACUGCUGCUGAGAUUUUUUAGUGCGUUAUGAUUUUGAUAACUGGAGCAGCAAUCUCUAUGUUUUGAAGAAGAUGUUUUGGAGAGGGAGACGAUCUGAGUUCCCUUUUUUACUGUUUCCAUUUCCACUUGCAAAGCUUUGUAAACCGCCGCAUCAACACCAAACAAGAAGCUUCCAUCAUCUAUGAACCAAGCAAGGAUUGUUUUGUAUGCUAUAGGCUAUAGCCGUAGUAGAUUUUGACAAUGAAAAUGGUGAGAUUUUUAAAGAUGGAACAAAUCAAUUAGCUUAAUACAACUCCUCUGUUGCAAGGUGAGUCAUGUGCUGUAUUUGCAUUGAAAUUCAAUUGUUGCUAUACUUUAGUAAUUAAAGGUAGGAAUCAAGUGAGAUUUGAAGUCCCACAUUGUCUACUUCAUAAAACAAGCUAUGCAGCUUAUAUAUAAAAUGUAAGCACCUCUAUUGCUAUCAACUACGGAGCCGUGUGAUGAUGACAUAGCGAACUAUUCUUUCGCCUUUUACUAAAGAAUACCGUGUCAGCGUCACAAUUAGCGGCAUACGCCAGUUUUUGGAAGAGUCCUCUUCAUUGAGGGUUCUGCAAAUUUAGUUCAAGUAUAUCAGUAUUACAUAGGACUCUGCAAUUUCACUCGAGUUUUUUAAAUCAAUCUCAAUACUUUUAACAUAAUUUUAACUAUUCUGAACAUAUUUGUCACUAUUCUGGAUUCACUAUCAGCUAAACAUUUAAGGACCUCUUGUUGCUUUAAAAGUGGGAAAAUCAUAUUCAAAUCACUUUGCAUAUUCAAAUAAGUUUUCAUAUGCAAACAUUAGACAAAUGGAAUAAUAGGAGAUACUCUUAGACACACUUUUGAUAUUUUCCCCUUAAUAACAUGUGAACUUGAUAAUUGACUAGUUUCUAAACACUAUUUACUUUUUAUACUCUAAGUGAAAUCCAGUGAUUGGAUAAAACCUUUGAAACACCAAAAUUUCCCUUAUGUCCUUGAUUCUUUAAACUGAGUACUACUGCAAAGGGAUUCAUUCAAUCCCACGAGAAAACUAAUAGUUGCAUCUUCUUCCUAGAGUUUCUUUAAACAUUCAAUCCCACGAGAAAACUAAUAGUUGCAUCUUCUUCCUAGAAUUUCUUUAAACUGUUGAACUCUUCACUAUUCAACAAUGCGAACACAGUCUCCUUGCGAGAAUCGUGCCUCGAGAUCCUUGCAAGCCGCUGCAGCAACAUCCAUAUAUAGACCACAUGCUUCAUGAUAGAUAGAGAGACCUAAUUUUUCGAUCCUGGUAUGCACAAGAUUGUUGCAUCUUUGCCGGGCCUCAUAACUAGGAUUGAAACGAUUUGGCAACAAUGCAAAUAAGUUCAAAAACCUGUUUUUCUUCUUCAUGAUACCCUCACACUUUUAUGACGAGUACUGUUUGUUUCAUCUUUCAUUGGUAUUUUGUUUUUCUGAAUAAAGUAUGUCAUGUCUAACUGUUUAUAUGGCAUGCAUAACCUGUUGUCUUGCGUCUGUACACUAAGGUAAAGCCUCUUUGUCUUCUACAGGAUUCUUUUGAAUGCUAUAGGCAUGGUAUAUUUUGAUCAAGAAAAUGGUGAUGUCGCUGAAGACUCGCUUAAAUAAAAGAUGGAAUAUACCGUUUAGCUCAAUACAACACCUCUGUUGCAAGGAUUGUUUGGUAUGCUAUAGCCAGAGUAGAUUUUGAUGAUCAUGAAAAUGGUGAGAUUUUUUAAGAUGGAAAGAUCAACUAGCUCAAUACACAGCUUCUCUGUGGCAAGGUAACUUAUUACUCUUUGUUGUUUCAUGUGAUAUAUUUGCAGUGAAAUUAAAUUUUCGCUAGACUAGGAUACUUUAGUUAUUUAAUGUUCAAAUGAGUGGAUAACAAACUAAAGUCCCAUAUUGUCUACUGCGUAAAAGGAACUAAUCUACUCACAUAUAGCGAACUAUUCUUCCGCCUAUUACUAAAGAAUAUCGUGUCAGCGUCAUAAUUAGCGGCAUAGGCUUGUUUUUGGAAGAGUCCUCAAUUUGAGGGCUCUGCAAUAAUAGUUCAAUUUUAGCUCUAUAUUUUUAAUAUUUCCAAAAAGUAGAGUCCUCUUCUUUGUAUAUUUCCUUAGCAUUUUGUUGCAAAACCAAAAAUGUAUUACCAUCUAGUUUAGUAAAUCCAGCUGAUAUAUUCUAAAGUGGUAGUAACUAGAAUUAUGAACCAUUUUCAUUGUAUCAUCUAUAUUUUCAUUAAAAAAAGGAACUAUUCUACUUUUAUUCUAUGGUUAAUAUUUUACAAUUUACACUUGAUAUCGACUUAUGUCUAUACAAAAAAUUUUAAUCCUCAGCAGAUCCUUAAAAUUUGGAUGCUACCAAACGCCUAAAUACACUUUCUAAGCCUUUCUCUAGCCCUUCAACUUCACUCUCCAAAGCUUCAAAACUUUCAUGUGCAGCUUGCAUCUUGGUAGCAAAAAAUCACAUACUAGCAUGACCAACGAAUGAAUGGAAAAAAUAUCAAAAUAUGGCUUCGCCCAGGCUCGAACUGGGGACCUUCAGUGUGUUAGACUGACGUGAUAACCAACUACACCACGAAACCACAUGUUCUUUAAUUUGCAAUAUUCCUUUUACUAUCCGUAAUAAAUGAAU